rnacentral:rRNA from 1 species
GAUGAACGCUGACGGCGUGCUUAACACAUGCAAGUCGAACGAUGAAGCCCAGCUUGCUGGGUGGAUUAGUGGCGAACGGGUGAGUAACACGUGAGUAACCUGCCCUUGACUCUGGGAUAAGCCCGGGAAACUGGGUCUAAUACCGGAUAGGAGCGCCUGUCGCAUGACGGGUGUUGGAAAGAUUUUUCGGUCAUGGAUGGACUCGCGGCCUAUCAGCUUGUUGGUGAGGUAAUGGCUCACCAAGGCGACGACGGGUAGCCGGCCUGAGAGGGUGACCGGCCACACUGGGACUGAGACACGGCCCAGACUCCUACGGGAGGCAGCAGUGGGGAAUAUUGCACAAUGGGCGGAAGCCUGAUGCAGCGACGCCGCGUGAGGGAUGACGGCCUUCGGGUUGUAAACCGCUUUCAGUAGGGAAGAAGCGAAAGUGACGGUACCUGCAGAAGAAGCACCGGCUAACUACGUG